rnacentral:ncRNA from 1 species
CAGAGUAGAGAUCUGUGCGUGAAGUGCCAGCCGGACGGGGAGUUGCCGGUCGGACGAAAAGGGGAAAGCCCUUGCGGUAUAGAUCUCGCAUCCCGCUG